rnacentral:rRNA from 1 species
UUCCUACGGGGCGCAGCAGUGAGGAAUAUUGGUCAAUGGGCGCGAGCCUGAACCAGCCAAGUAGCGUGAAGGAUGACUGCCCUACGGGUUGUAAACUUCUUUUAUAAAGGAAUAAAGUGAGGCACGUGUGCCUUUUUGUAUGUACUUUAUGAAUAAGGAUCGGCUAACUCCGUGCCAGCAGCCGCGGUAAUACGGAGGAUCCGAGCGUUAUCCGGAUUUAUUGGGUUUAAAGGGUGCGUAGGCGGGAUGCCAAGUCAGCGGUAAAAAUGCGGUGCUCAACGCCGUUGAGCCGUUGAAACUGGCGU